GGCCUCGUGGUGCAGUAGCUCUGCACCAGGCUGGUCCCGCCAGGACCACGGGUUCGAAUCCCGUCGAAACCA
rnacentral:tRNA from 1 species